CCUUACCCUAGAGCUGUCCCACAGGAUGCCUUUGGCAGCCUUCACUUUCAUACUCUUCAAAGGCUCCCCCGUCUUCAGACCUAACCACCUCCCUUCAUCCCUAUUCUCAGCAGAUGACCUCCCCAUUCACAAGAUUUCCCAGCUGAAGAAUCAAGAUCGAUGAUAACACAGGAGAAAAAUGUUCCACUGUGGCCAGUUUGUGUUCCUCCAGAGAGUCACUUGCACACACGUGGAUGGGCAGCCAGGAGACAUGGUUGACCCCUGAAGCAGCUGGGAAGCGCCCCCUGCCUGACAUGUAGAAGGAUUAUCAAAGUGCUGGUCCUGCCUGAAGGGAAGCUAUCACAAACUAUUAAUGAGAGAUGUUUCAGCCAUCUUAAAGUUGGUGAGAGAUACAGUUUUCAUUGUGUAAAUUAGAGUCAGCUUGCAGUUAUUCACUGUAAAGAAAUAAAGGAAGGAAAGCUCGUGGGCUUACGUAAUUGGCUUUUGAACAUAUUUUAUAUUAAAUAUAUUUGAGUGUAUUUAAUUCUACUUUUGAACAUAGUUUUCAUCUAGGAUUAUGGAAAGCCAAGUCAUUUCCUACAAAGUAGACAAAGUACAUUGAUGUCAUACCUUUAAAAAAAACCUGAAAAACGAAACCAAACAAAACAAAGAACACUCUGUUUAAAUGAAAUUGCUCAGAAGCCCAAUAUGUAACAUGGGUAUAAAUGGAGCAGCUUUGGCAGAAGCAGAGAUUGCAGGCCUUGAGCCAAGCCCUCUUGGCUGUCAUGUCCACCUCAUAGUGACACCAAAGGUGCUCUGGAGAGAGCAGUUUACAUAGGCAAAUGAGCACACACAAGAUGUUCACCAUUAGCCAUUAGGAAAAUUCAAAUGAAUCCCACAAUGAGAUAUCACUGCACACCUAUCAAAAUAGCUAAAAUAAAAAAGGGUGAUGAUACAAAUACUGGCAAAGAUAGGGAGAAACCAAGUCACUCAUGCACUACUGGUGGGAAUGUAAAGUGGUAUAGCCACUCUGCAAAACAGUUUGGCAAUUUCUUAAAAAAAUUAAACAUGAGCUGGAUGCAGUGGCUCAUGCCCGUAAUCCCAGCAUUUUGAGAGGCCAAGGUGGGCAGAUCACCUGAGGUCAGGAGUUUGAGACCAGCCUGGCCAAUAUGAAGAAACCCCGUCUCUACUAAAAAUACAAAAAUUGGCUGGGUGUGGUGGCACAUACCUGUAAUCCCAGCUACUCAGAAGGCCGAGGCAAGAGAAUGUCUUGAACCCAGGAGGCAGAGGUUGCAGUGGGCCAAGAUUGCACCACUGCCCUCCAGCCUGGGCAAUAGAGCGAGACUCCGUCUCAAAAAAACAAAAACAAAAAAUGCACAAAAAACUAAACACAUAACUACUAUGCAACCAAACAACUGCACUCCUGUGCAUUAAACCCAGAGAAGUGACAACUUCUGUUCACAAAAAAACCUGUACACUAGUGUUCAUAUGAGCUCUAUUUGUAAUAACCCCCAAAUGGAAACAACCCAGAUGUCUUUCAACAGAUGAAUAGGUUAAACUGUGGUACACCUAUAUGAUAGAAUACUACUCAGCAAUACAAAGAAGCCAAUUAUUAACACAUUGACUCUUGGUGAAUCUCCAGAGGAUUAUACCAUGUGAAUAAAGCUCAUACCAAAAUGUUGCAUACUGUAUUAUUCCGUUUAUACAACAUUAUUUAAAUGACAAAAUUAUAGAAAUGGACAAAAGAUUCAUGUUUGCCAGGGGUUGAGAAUGUGGAAGGGAAGUGGAAAUGGCUUGAAAGGGCAUGAAGGAUUGUGUUGGUGAUGAAAUGACCUGUAUUUUGUCUGUAUCUAUGUAAAUAUUCUGUAUGUAAUAGUGUACCAUAGUUUUGCAAGACAUUGCUAUUGUAAAAACUGAAUUAAGAGUACAUGGGAUCUCUUUAUUAUUUCUUACAACUGCAUGGGAGUCAAAAACUUUCUCAGAAUAAAAAAAAUCAAUAAAUUGUUUUAAUCAUAAAAAGGAUGGUAUCUCCAAAUCCUGUGUUCUGCUAUGACUUAAAUGUCACUUGUUUCACCCUGUUCAACACUGUUCUGCUAUGACUUAAAUGUCACUUGUUUCACCCUGUUCAUACAUCACUCUAGAUAUGGCAGUAUGCCCUUCAGACAAAUAUCAGGAUCUAGGGGAAGCUCAAUUUCCCUCCUUCUAAUCCAGUAAAAAGCACUUACUUAAUAUCAUGAAUCAAUGAAGUAUCCAGUGCUGGAAAUGAACCUACUGUUUUUUUCUUUUAAGUUCAUGCCUCCUCUGCACUAGGUAGGUAUUUAAGUGAUAAGGCAGAAAAUGCAAGAAAGAAAUAACACUGAGAGAUGACUGGUUAGUUGGAUCAUGGCAUGUACCUACCUCACUUCAAAAAGUGAUUUAGGAUACGUUAUUUCUAAAAUACGUGUUCUAUACUGUGGUAGGCUGAGUGGUAGUCCUCCAAAGAGGUCCAUGGUUUAAUCCUCAGAACAUGUGAAUAUGUUACCUUGCAUGGUAAAAGGAAUUUUGCAGAUGUGAAUAAGUUAAGGAUCUUGAGAUGAGAGAUUAGCCUGUGCUACGCAGUUGGGCCUGAUAUAAUCUCUGAACAGAGAGAGGAGAAGACAAUUUGUUAAGGAAAGCAGAGACUGGAAUGAUAAUGGCCACAGCUAAAGAAUACUGGCAGCCGCUGAAAGCUGGGAAAGGCAAGGAAUAUUCCCUCUGAAGACUUCAGAAGGAAUCAGCCCUGCUGACACCUUGAUUUUAGCCCUGUGAGAUUCAUUUCUGAUUUCUGACCUCCAAAGCUGUAAGAGAAGAAUAAA